rnacentral:lncRNA from 1 species
CUCAAAUGGAAUGAUUAAUUAAGGGGGAGAAAGAAAAUUUCAGAGGGAGAGAUCAUAUAGAACUUAAUUGUAUAAAUUCGCAUCUAAAGAUGAGACAAAGAAUACUAAAUGUAAAGUGGUAUUAAACUUUGUGCUUCAUUGAAUAUCUUUUGAAAGUUGGAUUUUCAUCUAUAUUCAUCGGUAAAUCAUUUAUUUCUAAAAAUUAAUUGAAAAGGAUUCCAUCUGUCUUAGUAUCGAAAAUUUAUCUUGGAAUCUACUUAUGAGUUCUUAUUGGGUUGCACUUUAGUGUUUCAAUCCUGAACCAAUUCAUUUUAAUUGAUUUUGAUGCUAUGAUCUUUAAAGGAGUAAAAUAAAGUCUU